rnacentral:misc_RNA from 1 species
UCCUCGUUCUCAAAUUUAGUCAAUUUUAUGAACGUUAAUCCUAAUUCUCCCAUUGUCUCCCCCAUAUCUUGUUGGGCUUUCACCAGAGAUUCAGCCUGCUGAGAAGCAUUGCUGAGUUGUUGCUCAAGAUCAUGCAUCCUCUCUUUCUUCUUCAAAAACUCUUUAUCUUCCUCAACAACUGGUGGCUUUGAUCCUCCCCAAUCAUUAGUCACUGACUGCCUCAACUCCUUAAACAGCCUCAACAAAUCCCUACCUCCUUUUGCCGGUUGUACCACUUCCUCUGGCGCUACUACCACACUCUCUCCAAACAACUGCUUGGGCAACUUCACUGCACCAUCGAGCAUCCUUGAAGCUACAUCAGUACUGGUUGGCAACGGCAACUUCCCUUGAACCUGUAAAAAAACCUUCAGUUCAUCGCUUUUCCUUAUGACUGGGUGCGUAGCAAGUCUCCUUAAGUAUUUCUCUAAUGCCACUCUCCUCUGCUCCACAAACUCCUGCUUCUGCAUCACUUGGCUCUCCACCAAAUUCUUGUCCGGCCUCGGCGGGAUAAAAAACCCUCGAUAUGACUCUGCUAAUCGAUCUGACAAAGUGACGACGUCUUUAAAUCGCCUCCGUACGCUAAAUUCAGAUCCGUUGAAGCCCGUUAUGUUCGUUCUCGUCGUGAUUAGAUACGUAAUAUAAGUGUUACUUCCUGGAACGAGAGAAUUAGAAGUUUCUUGCUCCUUCUGCGGAUUCGAGACUGUUAUUUUGAUAUAAUCGGAGCUGGAGGACGGUGACCUCGAGAGUGAUACCGAUGAAUCAGAAGACCGACCAGGGCUAUCAACGCCGUCGAUUUCAUGGACGGCGUUUUCAUCGAACGGACUGAAAAUGACAUCGGCAUAGGAUGGCGGUUCGAUGUAGGACGAGUUAUCUGCUGCGACGUUAGGGUUUCGGAAAUCACGAAAGG